AUACGUAGGAUCCGAGCGUUGUCCGGAUUUACUGGGCGUAAAGGGUGCGUAGGCGGCGUGGUAAGUCUCAUGUGAAAUCUCCCGGCUCAACUGGGAGGGGUCAUGGGAUACUGCCAUGCUCGAGGGCAGCAGAGGAGAGCGGAAUUCCGGGAGUAGCGGUGAUAUGCGUAGAUACCCGGAGGAACACCCGUGGCGAAAGCGGCUCUCUGGGCUGUACCUGACGCUAAGGCACGAAAGCGUGGGGAGCAAACCGGAUUAGAAACCCGGGUAGUCC
rnacentral:rRNA from 1 species